rnacentral:sRNA from 1 species
UCGACGGUACGGAGGCCGGCAGACGGGU